AUUAAAGAGUUCUAUAACUCCCAAACCCAUGUGAACAUACCUAACGUUGCCUCGGCAGGUCGCACCUACCUUGUAGCACCCUACCCUGUAGGGCCUACCCGGGAGGUGCAGGUAAGCCUGCCGGCGGCCCACCAAACUCUGUUUGAUAUUGAAUUCUGAACCUAUAACUAAAUAAGUUAAAACUUUCAACAACGGAUCUCUUGGUUCUGGCAUCGAUGAAGAACGCAGCGAAAUGCGAUAAGUAAUGUGAAUUGCAGAAUUCAGUGAAUCAUCGAAUCUUUGAACGCAUAUUGCGCCCAUUAGUAUUCUAGUGGGCAGGACCGUUCGAGCGUCAUUUCAACCCUUAAGCCUUCGUUGCUUAGUGUUGGGAGCCUACGGCAACGUAGCUCCUCAAAGUUAGUGGCGGAGUUGGUUCACACUCUAGACGUAGUAAUUUUUUAUCUCGCCUAUUAGUUGGACUAGUCCCCUGCCGUAAAACCCCCAAUUUAUCAAGGUUGACCUCGAAUCGGUUCAGACAAACUCGCUAAAUUGAAGCAUCUUAGUCAGCGAAGGAAAAGAAACCAACAGGGAUUGCCCUAGUAACGGCGAGUGAAGCGGCAACAGCUCAAAUUUGAAAUCUGGCCCUCGGGUCCGAGUUGUAAU
rnacentral:rRNA from 1 species